rnacentral:rRNA from 1 species
GGGCCCGCACAAGCGGUGGAGCAUGUGGUUUAAUUCGAUGCAACGCGAAGAACCUUACCAGGGUUUGACAUAGUACGAAGUUUUUUGAAAAAAAACCACCUUCGGGAACGUACAUACAGGUGGUGCAUGGCUGUCGUCAGCUCGUGUCGUGAGAUGUUGGGUUAAGUCCCGCAACGAGCGUAACCCUUGUUUUUAGUUGCCUUUCGAGGAUAUUUAGAAAGACUGCCGAUUAUAAAUCGGAGGAAGGUAAGGACGACGUCAAGUCAUCAUGCCCCUUACACUCUGGGCUACACACGUGCUACAUUGGGUAGAACAAUAAGUUGCUAAGUUGCGAAACCAAGCGAAUCUUCAAAUCUAACUCUAAGUUCGGAUUGUAGGCUGCAACUCGCCUACAUAAAGAUGGAAUC